rnacentral:lncRNA from 1 species
GGGACGUCGCGACGGUUGUCAUGGGCUCGAUGAGAGUUUCAGGUUGUGACACCAACAAUUAGAUAUGAUAAUAUAAUUAUUAUUGCAUAUGUAUUUCACAAAGUAUUCUUAACUCAAUUAGAGAAAAAUUUUUAUCAUCCCAAGCGCAUCACACAGGCAGCAAACUAGCAAAAUAAGAAAGCAAGCCUUCUGUCGGGUUUUGAAUUUUUGAUGUGUUGUUUUUAUUGUUUUUAAUGGAAAGAUUGGUG